rnacentral:rRNA from 1 species
UACGAAGGGGGCGAGCGUUGUUCGGAAUCACUGGGCGUAAAGCGUACGCAGGCGGAUCGAUAAGUCGGGGGUGAAAGCCCGGGGCUCAACCUGGGAAUUGCCAUCGAUACUGUCGAGCUUGAGUCCGGGAGAGGUAAGUGGAAUUCCUAGUGUAGAGGUGAAAUUCGUAGAUAUUAGGAAGAACACCAGUUGCGAAGGCGGCUCACUGGCCCGGUACUGACGCUCAGGUUCGAAAGCGUGGGGAGCAAACAGG